rnacentral:piRNA from 1 species
UGAGCAGCGCACUUUAGCCAAUGCCAGUGUC